GCACAUGCGCGCUGUCCUGGCUCGGGAGAUGGACUGCCGCCGUGUUUUGGGCCGGUUCUGGAGUGGCUGGCGGCGGGGCCUGGGUGUCCGCCCAGUGCCCGAGGACGCAGGCUUUGGCACCGAAGCCCGGUGAUUAAGUACCCCCUCUCUCAUGCGGGACGGAGGCUAGGGCAGGGGGAAGGCACGUGCGGGUCUGGAUCAGGUAGAUGUUACCCGAAAACAGCCCCGUUGGCCUCUCUGAGCCUCGGUGCCCUCCGCUGUAGAAUGGGACCGGUCGUACCUGAAUUUUCGAGGUCAGCCCAGACAUUGUGAGGCAUUUGUCAGAGGCCGCAGGAUUUGGGAAGAGGCGUCCGGAGAUAGGAAUGGGCGGCACCUCGGGAUGGAAUGACUCCCAUUGCUUCUCCCUCCUUGUCCAGGCAUCAGAGGCAACCCCGCGGCUCCCGCCAACGGUCGGGGCCCCUCGGGGACCAGCCCUUCCCGGGGCUGCUGCCAAAAAACCUCAGUCGGGAGGAGUUGGUUGAUGCGCUGCGGGCAGCCGUGGUGGACCGGAAAGGACCUCUAGUGACGUUGAACAAGCCACAGGGUCUACCGGUGACAGGAAAACCAGGAGAGCUGACGUUGUUCUCAGUGCUGCCAGAGCUGAGCCAGUCCCUAGGGCUCAGGGAGCAGGAGCUUCAGGUUGUCCGAGCAUCUGGGAAAGAAAGCUCUGGGCUUGUACUCCUCUCCAGCUGUCCCCAGACAGCUAGUCGCCUCCAGAAGUACUUCAUCCAUGCACGAAGAGCCCAGAGGCCCACAGCCAUCUACUGGUGAGAGGUGCUGGGA
rnacentral:sRNA from 1 species